rnacentral:rRNA from 1 species
CACGCCGUAAACGAUGAGCACUAAGUGUAGGGGAAACCCUGUGCUGUAGUUAACGCAAUAAGUGCUCCGCCUGAGUAGUACGUACGCAAGUAUGAAACUCAAAGGAAUUGACGGGACCCCGCACAAGCGGUGGAUCAUGUUGUUUAAUUCGAUGAUACGCGAAGAACCUUACCAGGUCUUGACAUCCCCCGCAAUGCUUUAGAGAUAAAGCGGAGGUAUCCGGGGAGACAGGUGGUGCAUGGUUGUCGUCAGCUCGUGUCGUGAGAUGUUGGGUUAAGUCCCGCAACGAGCGCAACCCUUAUUGCUAGUUACCAUCAUUGAGUUGGGGACUCUAGCGAGACUGCCAGCGAUAAGCUG